UUUGGUGGCGAUAGCGGAGGGGUUCCACACGUACCCAUCCCGAACACGACCGUUAAGCCCUCCAGCGCCGAUGGUACUUGGACCGAAGGGUC
rnacentral:rRNA from 1 species